GAAAGUCCAGGCAGCUCUCCGGCGAUCACCGGAACCCUAGAAACGAGCUUAUCCCCUUCCUAUCUAGAGGGAGAAAGCGCCUCUUGAGCUUCGCCUUCACGGGUUCCUGCAAGCUGCUGUCGCUGUCCGUCACCAAUCACAUCCUUUCCCGCUCGCCGAGUUCCCGAUCGUGAGGCGGCCGUCGAGACACGUGGCGGUGAUCUCAGUACUCAGUCCCUCUCUGAUCAGUUUUAUUGGUAAUGUGAGAGGGAGGCGAUGGAUCGGGCGGCGCUGACGGUGGGGCCGGGGAUGGAUAUGCCGAUAAUGCACGACAGCGAUCGGUACGAGCU
rnacentral:misc_RNA from 1 species